rnacentral:rRNA from 1 species
AGCAGCCGCGGUAAUACGGAGGAGGCAAGCGUUAUCCGGAAUUAUUGGGCGUAAAGCGUCCGCAGGGGGCGCAUCAAGUCUGCUGUUAAAGGUCGGAGCUAAACUCCGGUAGAGCAGUGGAAACUGGUGCGCUAGAGGGCGACAGGGGUAGAGGGAAUUCCCAGUGUAGCGGUGAAAUGCGUAGAGAUUGGGAAGAACACCGGUGGCGAAAGCGCUCUACUGGGUCGCACCUGACCCUCAGGGACGAAAGCUAAGGUAGCGAAAGGGAUUAGAUACCCCUGUAGUCUUAGCCGUAAACGAUGGAUACUAGGCGUGGUUUGUAUCGACCCAAGCCGUGCCGAAGCUAACGCGUUAAGUAUCCCGCCUGGGGAGUACGCACGCAAGUGUGAAACUCAAAGGAAUUGACGGGGGCCCGCACAAGCGGUGGAGGAUGUGGUUUAAUUCGAUGCAACGCGAAGAACCUUACCAGGGCUUGACAUCCCGCGAAGUUUGGGGAAACUCAGACGUGCCUACGGGAACGCGGAGACAGGUGGUGCAUGGCUGUCGUCAGCUCGUGUCGUGAGAUGUUGGGUUAAGUCCCGCAACGAGCGCAACCCUCGUCCUUAGUUGCCAGCAUUAAGUUGGGCACUCUAGGGAGACUGCCGGUGACAAACCGGAGGAAGGUGAGGAUGACGUCAAGUCGGCAUGCCCCUUAUGCUCUGGGCAACACACGUCCUACAAUGGUCGGGACAAAGGGGAGCGAGCUCGCGAGAGUAAGCGAAUCCCAGCAAACUCGGCCUCAGUUCAGAUAGCAGGCUGCAACCCGCCUGCUGAAGGAGGAAUCGCUAGUA